UCAGUCGACUCCUACGGGGAGGCAGCAGUGGGGAAUAUUGCACAAUGGGGGAAACCCUGAUGCAGCCAUGCCGCGUGUGUGAAGAAGGCCUUCGGGUUGUAAAGCGCUUUCAGUAGGGAGGAAGGUAGUGUAGUUAACACCUGCACUAUUUGACGUUACCUACAGAAGAAGCACCGGCUAACUCCGUGCCAGCAGCCGCGGUAAUACGGAGGGUGCGAGCGUUAAUCGGAAUUACUGGGCGUAAAGCGCAUGCAGGCGGCCUGUUAAGUCAGAUGUGAAAGCCCGGGGCUUAACCUCGGAAUUGCAUUUGAAACUGGCAGGCUAGAGUCUUGUAGAGGGGGGUAGGAAUUUCAGGUGUAGCGGUGAAAUGCGUAGAGAUCUGAAGGAAUACCAGUGGCGAAGGCGGCCCCCUGGACAAAGACUGACGCUCAGAUGCGAAAGCGUGGGGAGCAAACAGGAUUAGAUACCCUGGUAG
rnacentral:rRNA from 1 species